AUAAAAACUUUGAUGCGAGUUGUGCGCAGUUCAAUAAAGUUAUUUUUUUCCUCUCAAGUUUGAUUUGUAGGAUUGUACAGCAUGGAAAGGUAAAGGUACUCACAACAAAUAUUUCACAACAAGAAGAAGAAAUAAAUUGCAGAAAAGUUAGAUACAUACAGUACGGGUAACAGAAAGGUUUUUUGUUCUUGCUUUUACCAUCUUGUGACCCCUCAGACUUAUUGUAGUACUACUUGGGAGGUCCUGAUGCCCAGGUUGGGAAUCACUGUCUCCAGUUAAGAAAGUAACAUGAUGAUGAACAAACAAAGAAUCUAUCAACAGUGAAUCUGCAUGUGCAUGACCUUUGACUUUAAAAGCCAAAAAGCACCGACAGCAGCUUGCUCUUGCAGGGCCGAGUCCACCACCCAUGUGUGUGCGUUUGUGUGUGUGUGUGGUUGAGUGAGUGAGAGAGUGUCGAUGUACAGUACAGUACUGUAGAUCACUGGUGGACAGCAGCCAGCCACCCCCUCCCCAAACGAUGAGUGUCCCAGCCAGGAUGGCACCAGCUCUGACACACACACACACACACACACACACAUGCACAUUGCACACACAUACCAGAUGGGGUCUACUUCAAGACCACCACUCGCACUGAUCUCAUCGGAAAGAGAAGCGGGGCUGCAGCAGAAGCGGUGGUGGUGAUAGCGGGUAUGUGAAAUGACAGUCUGUAUGUGAGUGUGUGAGUGUGUGAGUGUGUGUGGGUGAGAUCAGAGGGAAAGCAGCGAUAUGAGAGACGGGUGAGUGUUAUUCCAGAUGCUCCACCCUGCACCCUCCUACCCCUCCACCGGCCCACUUCACUCCCUGCUGGGUUCUCGGUUUUCAACGGCAUAAAAACAGGAAAGGAGGAAGUGUUUUCAAUGUGUGAGUGUGUGUGUGUGUGUGUGUUGGGGUGCAGGGGGGUGUGUCAAGUGUGAGGUGUAAAUUUCUAAUGGCGCAGCACUGUGUGACAAAUUGCGGAGCGAGUGUGACAGUAUAUAUGUGUGUGUGUGUGUGUGUCACUCCCCCGCAUACAGCUCAUGUGUGCCUGGUGCAUAUAUCUGUGUGUGUGUGUGUGUGUGUGUGUGUGUGUAUGUGUGUUGUAUCGCAGCGCAGAUGCAUGCUCAUGUGUGGGAAUCAUUUGCAUGCUGUUUGUCGGUGGGGUUGCAGUCUGUCAGCUUGGUCAGAGCUGUAAUCACAAAGCCAGAUGAAGCACUCUUAAUAACAACCCAGUCCAACUGCCAGCGUCUCAGAGAGGGGAGUAAACACUUGGAAGAGCCAAACCGCUGCACCAAUGUGCACAUUUGGCAGCGCUUGUUUGCAGAAAAUGAAACAUUUCAUGACAGGAUAAAAACAAGGGGUUGGUCCUUUUCAACUAUUGAGGAAGCAAUUUGGCACUUCCAGAAUCCAGACAAAACGCCACCUGUGCUGGCUGGCAAGCCUUCCCAAGACCCAGACGACUGCAGCCCUCCUCCUCCUCCUCCUCCUCCUCCUCCUCCUCUUCCUCCACCUCCUCCUCCUCUCACUGACAGUGGCAGAGCUGCUCUGAAAAAUUAAUCUGCAGCACAGAUGAAUUACACAGGAGCACGCGCCCAAGUGCAAAUAUGGACGUAGCUGUGAAUGGAGGGGAGAUUUAAAGGAGUGUGAAAAGAUAUGGGGAGAUGCUUCACCAGUGUGUGUAGUACAGUAUGUGUGUGCCUGUGAGCAAGUUUGUAUAUCUGCUGAUAAAUAAACUAGGCGCUACGUAGGCAGCGGGUUUUUAAUUAGUCUCUUGCUCUCAAAGCGGCAGUGGGUAGAAAUGGAGCAAAUAUGAUUAAAAAAAGUAUUUUUUUAUAAAACGGUCACUACAUCAU